AAUAAAUAAUAAAACAUGUAUUUUUCCAUCUUGCAGUUCAUUCAUAUCAGUUUAUAUAUAUAUAAAUAUUUUGCUCACAGAUCAUUAUUAACAUUCUGUAUAUAAUUCAAUUUUAUUUUCUCUCCCCUUUUUUAUUAUUUUUAUUUUUAGCUGAAAAGACGUAAAGGCAGUCAGCCCAGUGGUGUUUCUGGAGAGGGAUUCCUUCAGAAAUGGAGAAGACAGAAAGCUGCGGAGGCAGAUAUUUGCAGCAGAUUGUUUGAGGAUAACACUGCAGUUCUCCAUCAUGCACAAGGACUCACCUCGUUAACUCUUUAUCCCCCACACACACAGAUAUGGUCCCUGGAUCAGUGAUUAGACUUUUCAGUGGUUUGAUUUUUGCAGAAGAUGUAACUUUGUUUUAUUUAUAAGCUCAUAAUGAAUACAUUACAGAACCAGUGAUGAAAACAAUAGUUAAAAAUAGUAUUUUUCGUAUUGAUAAAGCAUUUUGUUCUCUUUUUCAAGCUUCAUACAGUGAACUUUUUAGACUUUAAUUAAGAGUUUUAGUAAAGGAGAUAUUCAUACACAGUCAUCCCCUAGCUCCAGUCAUGAAGUGAAUUCAUGAUGUUAUGUCAAAGCUAGCAGGUGUUUGUUUUCCUGAACACUUUCUCUGUCUUCCAUUGUUCAGACAAUCAGUGUUUAUUUGAUGCUGUGCUGAUUGAGUUUUAUAGAUGAUAUUGCACACUUGACAUGCAUGUCUUCAUGGUGUUUUUUUGUGAGUUUGAAACAUUUACAUUGUGUUGUAUAACAUUUUGGUCAAUUUAAUUUUUUUAAUAAAAUUGAACUUUUUCCAGUGUUCUCUGAAAGACAUACUGUAUUUACUGUUUUGUUUUUUAAUAAAAGCAUUUUCAUUUGCAUACUGAAAAUAGUUAAUGUUUACAACAUAACUGCCUUUUUAUUCUUUAUGGUGGCAAA
rnacentral:lncRNA from 1 species